rnacentral:rRNA from 1 species
UACGAAGGGGGGCUAGCGUUGUUCGGAAUUACUGGGCGUAAAGCGCACGUAGGCGGGCGAUUAAGUCAGGGGUGAAAUCCCGGAGCUCAACUCCGGAACUGCCUUUGAUACUGGUCGUCUAGAGAUCGGAAGAGGUGAGUGGAAUUCCCAGUGUAGAGGUGAAAUGCGCAGAUAUCGGGAGGAACACCAAUGGCGAAGGCAGCUCGCUGGGACGUUACUGACGCUGAGACGCGAAAGCGUGGGGAGCAAACAGG